rnacentral:ncRNA from 1 species
ACCCUUGUGACUGCAAGAAAGGCAACACGUAGCGAGAACGUGCAAGGGU